GCCGGCAGCUAGCUCUCUGCAACUCUCACAUGGUCGCCCACUGAAGCUAAGCAGGGCUGCCAGGUCAGUACCGGGAUGGGAGACCACAUGGGAAAGCUAGGUUGCUGCUGGAA
rnacentral:rRNA from 1 species